rnacentral:rRNA from 1 species
CCUACGGGAGGCAGCAGUGUGUUAAUUAUGUCACAUGUGGUUACUUGCCCUGAAUCCAGCCAUGCACCUGUGAUUAAAUUAAACGCCAUGUCCCCUUGUAAACCGCCUUUUGUCAAGGAAGAUAUCCUUUGGGUUAAUUCCUCCGAAGGAUGACGGUACCGUGAAGAAUAAGCACCGGCUAACUACGUGCCAACAUCCGCGGUAAUACGUACGGUGCGAGCGUUAAUCGGAAUUACUGGGCAUAAAGCGUGCGCAGGCGGUUGUGUAAGACAGAUGUGAAAUCCCCGGGCUCAACCUGGGAACUGCAUUUGUGACUGCACGGCUCGAGUACGGCAGAGGGGGAUGGAAUUCCGCGUGUAGCAGUGAAAUGCGUAGAUAUGCGGAGGAACACCGAUGGCGAAGGCAGUCCCCUGGGCCUGUACUGACGCUCAUGCACGAAAGCGUGGGGAGCAAACAGGAUUAGAUACCCUGGUAGUCCACGCCCUAAACGAUGUCAACUGGUUGUUGGGUGGGUUUCUACUCAGUAACGAAGCUAACGCGUGAAGUUGACCGCCUGGGGAGUACGGCCGCAAGGUUGAAACUCAAAUGAAUUGACGG